rnacentral:misc_RNA from 1 species
UGGUCUGAACCUGAAUGUUCUUCAGGCUUGGGUUAUAUGGAACCUAUGCAAUGUUGAGAACAAAAUGAUAUCAGUUGAAAGAAUUCUUCAAUUUACUGACAUACCCAGUGAAGCUCCCUUAGAGAUUGAAGAUAGUAAGCCAAAGCCUGAUUGGCCAAUGGAUGGAAGAAUUGAAUUAGUGAGCCUUUGUGUCCAAUACAGUCCUGUUCUCCCUAUGGUUCUCAAAUCUAUAACUUGCACUUUCCCAGGGGGGAAGAAAAUUGGUGUUGUGGGCAGAACAGGGAGUGGAAAGUCUACUUUGAUUCAAGCUCUUUUUAGGGUGAUUGAGCCCUCUGGAGGAAAGAUUCUUAUUGAUGGACUGGAUAUUUCCAAGAUAGGUUUGCGAGAUUUGAGGUCUAGGCUAGGUAUAAUUCCUCAAGACCCCACAUUGUUUCAAGGAACUGUGAGGAAUAAUCUGGAUCCUUUGCAAGAACACUCAGAUCAUGAAAUCUGGGAGGUUCUCAACAAGUGCCGCCUUGCUGAUAUAGUGAAGCAGGAUCAAAGGCUUCUCGAAGCACCAGUUGCUGAAGAUGGUGAAAACUGGAGUGUCGGGCAGAGGCAGCUUGUUUGUCUGGCUAGAGUGCUUCUAAAGAAGAGAAGAAUUUUGGUAUUGGAUGAGGCCACGGCUUCCAUUGAUACAGCAACAGACAAUAUCAUUCAGGGGACGAUAAGAGAAGAAACAAGUAGAUGCACAGUCAUCACAGUGGCGCAUCGAAUACCUACUGUCAUUGACAAUGACUUGGUUUUGGUUCUUGAUGAAGGGAAGGUAGUAGAGUAUGACUCCCCUGAGCAGUUGCGCAAGGAAAAUUCUUCUUCAUUUUCGAAGUUGGUUGCAGAAUUCUCAAGGAGAUCAUCAACAA